rnacentral:rRNA from 1 species
AUUGAACGCUGGCGGAAUGCUUUACACAUGCAAGUCGAACGGCAGCACGGACUUCGGUCUGGUGGCGAGUGGCGAACGGGUGAGUAAUGUAUCGGAACGUGCCCAGUCGUGGGGGAUAACGUAGUGAAAAUUACGCUAAUACCGCAUACGAUCUAUGGAUGAAAGCGGGGGAUCGCAAGACCUCGCGCGAUUGGAGCGGCCGAUAUCAGAUUAGGUAGUUGGUGGGGUAAAGGCCCACCAGGCCAACGAUCUGUAGCUGGUCUGAGAGGACGACCAGCCACACUGGAACUGAGACACGGUCCAGACUCCUACGGGAGGCAGCAGUGGGGAAGUUUGGACAAUGGGCGAAAGCCUGAUCCAGCCAUUCCGCGUGCAGGAUGAAGGCCCUCGGGUUGUAAACUGCUUUCGUACAGAACGAAAAGGUUUCUACUAAUACUAGGAGCUCAUGACGGUACUGUAAGAAUAAGCACCGGCUAACUACGUGCCAGCCGCCGCUGUAA